rnacentral:rRNA from 1 species
CUCCUGGAAACGGGUGGUAAUGCCGGAUGUUCCACAUGAGCGCAUGCGAGUGUGGGAAAGGCUUUUGCGGCAUGGGAUGGGGUCGCGUCCUAUCAGCUUGUUGGUGGGGUAACGGCCUACCAAGGCGUUGACGGGUAGCCGGCCUGAGAGGGCGACCGGCCACAUUGGGACUGAGAUACGGCCCAGACUCCUACGGGAGGCAGCAGUGGGGAAUAUUGCACAAUGGGCGCAAGCCUGAUGCAGCGACGCCGCGUGCGGGAUGACGGCCUUCGGGUUGUAAACCGCUUUUGACUGGGAGCAAGCCGCUUCGGCGGUGAGUGUACCUUUCGAAUAAGCACCGGCUAACUACGUGCCAGCAGCCGCGGUAAUACGUAGGGUGCAAGCGUUAUCCGGAAUUAUUGGGCGUAAAGGGCUCGUAGGCGGUUCGUCGCGUCCGGUGUGAAAGUCCAUCGCUUAACGGUGGAUCCGCGCCGGGUACGGGCGGGCUUGAGUGCGGUAGGGGAGACUGGAAUUCCCGGUGUAACGGUGGAAUGUGUAGAUAUCGGGAA